GUCGACCCAGGCGAGAGCGUAUGUUUGCAUUCGGCGGAGGUUAGCGCUUGGCGCCUUCAGACCUUGAGCAGAGAUCAAGUGAAUCUCCAGAAUAAAUUCAUCAAGAAACGGAAGAUGGGACCUUUGUGACUUCUGAGGGAUUGGAGUAGGCGACUAGGCGAGCGAAGAAAGUGAAAUGUGGAAACGCUGCGCUCUUUGGUCUGCAAUAAGCGGGGAAUGCGGAAGAGUAGCACUGUAGCACAAGAAAGAAAG